rnacentral:rRNA from 1 species
GCCAGCAGCCGCGGUAAUACCAGCUCCAGUAGCGUAUGCUAAAGUUGUUGCAGUUAAAAAGCUCGUAGUUGUGUUUGUUUCYCGCGGAUGGGAUGCGUAGUGUUAAGGCACGGCGUGAACUGUCGGUGGAAUGAAAUUUUGGGCUGUGCUGCGCGUGAUCUUUGUUGGUCGUGCGUGCGUGUGGCCCAUCGUUUACUGUGAGAAAAUUAGAGUGUUCAAGGCAGGCGUUUGUAAUUGAAUAUGUUAGCAUGGAAUAAUGAGAUAUGGCUUCCGUUUGUUGGUUUUGUGAUGUGGAAGUAAUGAUUGAUAGGGACGGUUGGGGGUGCUAGUAUUCAGCGGCCAGAGGUGAAAUUCAUGGAUUCGCUGAAGACUGACUUUUGCGAAAGCAUUCACCAAGGACGCCCUCUUUAAUCAAGAACGAAAGUUGGGGGAUCGAAGACGAUCAGAUACCGUCGUAGUCUCAACCAUAAACUAUGUCGACUAGCGAUUGGCCGUUGUCUUCAACAGACAUGGUCAGGAGCUUGAGAGAAAUCAAAGUGUUUGGACUCUUGGGGAAGUAUGGUCGCAAGACUGAAACUURAAGGAAUUGACGGAAGGGCACCACCAGGAGUGGAGCCUGCGKCUUAAUUUGACUCAACACGGGARAACWUACCAGGUCCAGAGAUGUAGAGGAUUGACAGAUUGAAGCUCUUUCUUGAUCACUUCGGUGGUGGUGCAUGGCCGUUCUUAGUUGGUGGAGUGAUUUGUCUGGUUAAUUCCGUU